CAGCCGAAGACACAGUCAAGUGAUAUAUGGCAGAGCACUUUCAGCCCAUGGAAUUAGGUCUACGCAGGAUGGUUUUCUUGUCAUUGUUUUAUUGAUUUAUAGAAACAGCAGCCCGCUGAUUGCAAGAGACAAUUUAGCUUAAACUUACGCACUUGUUUUGUGGGAUUUGGAAUAACAGAGACAAUCAUCGGAGCAUUAAUGUAAUGUAAUGAAAGUAAAAAAGAAAUUUCAUUUAAUUAAAAUUUAAAUUGUAUUCAGGGUUUAUUACAUAGACUAUAUUUGUAAGUUCCAAAACAAUUCUUUAGCAAAUUUCACACCAUUUAAAAGUAUUUAAAUGACAUAUCCUUAACUCCAACAUGUUCCCUCAAUUUAUAAUCCUAUGACUUACUUAAAAUCGCUACAAAUUUACCUUCUAAUAAAAUUCAUAAAAAUGUUUUCAACCACCUUAAAGUCAACAUAUUUUUGUUUGCAAAAGGAGGCUUAAAUUAUAGACUAUUAACUCCAUAUGCCUAUCUAUGACCUGGAACAUACAGGCCAACACACAAACUGCCCCCUCCCGAACCAAGGCAAAUGAAAAAUCUGUCAAGCUCAACAAACAGACAACUUAAUGCCACAAGCCGACCGGCCAAGCAAUCCCACCAAGCCACAGGAGCUGCCAGGCCACUGGCCAGAGAAAGAGGAUGGAGUCGAGGAUGAGUUUGAGGAGGAGGACUCGAUGACUUGGCCAGACUGGUCUCUGUGGUAAAAUUUAAUUUAACAUACAAUUCAGAAGGCCCGGCGACAAAUUCUCUGGCCAGCAACUCCGGCCGCACAAUGGCAGCCGAAAUUGUUGCCAGGACACACACAAAGUUUCCUGCCGGCGAGGAGCUGGCUCAGGGACUGGGAUCUCUGGCCAGAGGCUCGAACCCUUAAUUAUAUUUAGUGUAUGAAAUCCUUUGGCCACACAAUGGCCAGCAGCAGCAGAAGCAGGAAGUGAAAGUGGCCAUGUCCUUGUCCCUGUUCGCCGUCGUGUUUAAUCCAAGCAAUUUGCAAUUUUUGGCCUUCGGACAAUGGAAUGAAUGGCAUUUGUGGCUCCCGUUCGAUUCGAUUCGCAACUGUUGCCAGGACUUCUUUCAUAAUCCCGGGAAGAACCCUUCAUCCGGCCUUCAAUAAAACCAUCAUAUUUGAUUGUUAUGUA